rnacentral:rRNA from 1 species
GAUGAACGCUAGCGGCAGGCUUAAUACAUGCAAGUCGUGGGGCAGCAUGAGUAGCAAUACUUGAUGGCGACCGGCAAACGGGUGCGGAACACGUACACAACCUUCCGAUAAGUGGGGAAUAGCCCAGAGAAAUUUGGAUUAAUACCCCGUAACAUAUAGAGUAGGCAUCUUCUUUAUAUUAUAGCUUCGGCGCUUAUUGAUGGGUGUGCGUCUGAUUAGGUAGUUGGCGGGGUAACGGCCCACCAAGCCUACGAUCAGUAGCUGAUGUGAGAGCAUGAUCAGCCACACGGGCACUGAGACACGGGCCCGACUCCUACGGGAGGCAGCAGUAAGGAAUAUUGGACAAUGGGCGAAAGCCUGAUCCAGCCAUGCCGCGUGAAGGAUUAAGGUCCUCUGGAUUGUAAACUUCUUUUAUUUGGGACGAAGAAAGGGAAUUCUUUCCACUUGACGGUACCAAGUGAAUAAGCACCGGCUAACUCCGUGCCAGCAGCCGCAGUAA